AGUACGGCGAGUGAGCGGUAAAAGCUCAAAUUUGAAAUCUGGUACUUUCAGUGCCCGAGUUGUAAUUUGUAGAAUUUGUCUUUGAUUAGGUCCUUGUCUAUGUUCCUUGGAACAGGACGUCAUAGAGGGUGAGAAUCCCGUUUGGCGAGGAUACCUUUUCUCUGUAAGACUUUUUCGAAGAGUCGAGUUGUUUGGGAAUGCAGCUCAAAGUGGGUGGUAAAUUCCAUCUAAAGCUAAAUAUUGGCGAGAGACCGAUAGCGAACAAGUACAGUGAUGGAAAGAUGAAAAGAACUUUGAAAAGAGAGUGAAAAAGUACGUGAAAUUGUUGAAAGGGAAGGGCAUUUGAUCAGACAUGGUGUUUUUUGCAUGCACUCGCCUCUCGUGGGCUUGGGCCUCUCAAAAAUUUCACUGGGCCAACAUCAAUUCUGGCAGCAGGAUAAAUCAUUAAGAAUGUAGCUACUUCGGUAGUGUUAUAGCUUUUUGGAAUACUGUUAGCCGGGAUUGAGGACUGCGCUUCGGCAAGGAUGUUGGCAUAAUGGUUAAAUGCCGCCCGUCUUGAACACGGGACCA
rnacentral:rRNA from 1 species